rnacentral:rRNA from 1 species
UUCGGGCAGAGGUGACAGGUGGUGCAUGGUUGUCGUCAGCUCGUGUCGUGAGAUGUUGGGUUAAGUCCCGCAACGAGCGCAACCCUUGUCAUUAGUUGCCAGCAGUUCGGCUGGGCACUCUAGUGAGACUGCCGUGGAUAACACGGAGGAAGGUGGGGAUGACGUCAAAUCAUCAUGCCCCUUAUGUUCUGGGCUACACACGUGCUACAAUGGCUGGUACAGAGAGACGCAAGACCGUGAGGUGGAGCAAAUCUCCAAAACCAGUCCCAGUUCGGAUUGUAGGCUGCAACUCGCCUACAUGAAGUUGGAGUUGCUAGUAAUCGCAGAUCAGAAUGCUGCGGUGAAUGCGUUCCCGGGUCUUGUACACACCGCCCGUCACACCAUGGAAGUUGGGGGCGCCCAAAGUUGGCCAUUAAAUAGGUUACCUAAGGCGAAAUCAAUGACUGGGGUGAAGUCGUAACAAGGUAGCCGUAUCGGAAGGUGCGGCU